UUCACUUUUUUGAAAUCUUGAAUAAAAACUUUUUAAAUCUGUUCUUAUCAGCUUUUAUACGCGAUAUCAUGUGCUUCCAUGAGGACCAUACAUUAAAGUGAUUUUUGAAACAGGAGAUGGAAUAGGAAGCUUGCUCCAUCACUACCACGCAUCGACUGGUAUUGCAGUCCUCCAGGACGGUGCCCCUCCC
ensembl:snRNA U2 U2 spliceosomal RNA